rnacentral:tRNA from 1 species
ACCUGGCUGGCUCAGUUGGAGGAGCGUGCAGCUCUUGAUUUCCAUGUCGUGAGUUCAAGUCCCAUGUUGGGUG